CGUGUAGGCGGUCUUUUAAGUCUGAUGUGAAAGCCCCGGGCUCAACCUGGGAAGUGCAUUGGAAACUGGGAGACUUGAGUACGGGAGAGGGUAGUGGAAUUCCCAGUGUAGGAGUGAAAUCCGUAGAUAUUGGGAGGAACACCGGUGGCGAAGGCGGCUACCUGGACCGAUACUGACGCUGAGACGCGAAAGCGUGGGGAGCAAACAGGAUUAGAUACCCUGGUAGUCCACGCUGUAAACGAUGGGCACUAGGUGUCCGGGGUAUUGACCCCCUGGGUGCCGCAGCUAACGCAUUAAGUGCCCCGCCUGGGGAGUACGGUCGCAAGAUUAAA
rnacentral:rRNA from 1 species